UCUGGCACCACUUCCUCAUACCAACCUCAUCAUCCUCCCCCAUCCCUACCGACCCACUGCGGGCGUCUGAGCCCAGUCCCCUUGAUCCCUAAAAUCUGGGAGAGGCUCUUUCCCCUAGGGGCCCUGCCUUCGCAGACUUGCCCGAGGUGGGGGCGGGGUGGAAUUCUGAGUGGCUCAGUGGCCCCCGCCGCACUUGCUCACUGGAGAGCCCCUAUUUUAAGGAUGCUACUGCAGUUGGAGAAGGAACCCCACUUUUAGGAAUCCUCUUCCGUGCAAAAGGCUGUCUGAGAUCAGGCGCAAAAAACCUCCCGCUCAGGUUACCCUACGGGCUCGUUACCCCGGACUCCGCCCCCGAUUGCAAAACAACUGAGGGGUGGAUCCUUAUUUUCCCUUCUACUCGCUUGUUCUCGAGGUAAACAGAACCACCGAGUUCCUCUCAGCGGACAACUGUAGCUGACCUUCCGGUGAAAACGAGGAUGUGGGAGCGGCGGGGAGCGCGUGAGGAUCAGGGCGACCGCUAAGGCGUAGAAUAACCAGCUACUAUAUUUCUGUUCUCCCUUAUGCAACAUUGUCCCGUCUGCCAGCAUGGUUGAGCAGCAGCUGUUGUCAAACUGCAGAGUACAAAGUGCACCGUAAAAGACAGAUGGCAGAUCCGCCUUCCUUGCUGGUGAAAUGUUCACUGACCAGGGAGAAACAACCACGUGGAAAAUUAAAUAAACCCAUGACAUUCAUAUCUAGCAGCUCUGGUUUUGUAGGGUUUCCCCUGAGAAGUGGGACUAUUUGCAUGAGUCACUCUUUUUUCUUUUUAGAGUCUUCUCUAUUUGUGAAUAAAUGUUUCCAAUUAAAACAUU